AUUGAACGCUGGCGGCAGGCCUAAAACAUGCAAGUCGAACGAGUGGCGGACGGGUGAGUAGUGUAUGAAAAAGUGCCAGAUGGAGGGGGAUCACUAGUGGAAACGGUGGCUAAUAGCGCAUACGAUCGGAUGGGCCCAGAUGGGAUUAGCAAGUAGGGGGGGUAACGGCGCACCUAGGCGACGAUCCCUAGCUGGUCUGAGAGGAUGACCAGCCACACUGGAACUGAGACACGGUCCAGACUCCUACGGGAGGCAGCAGUGGGGAAGAUUGCGCAAUGGUCGCAAGCCUGAUGCAGCCAUGCCGCGUGGAUGAAGAAGGCCUUCGGGUUGUAAAGUACUUUCAGCGAGGAGGCGUUACUCGCAGAAGAAGCACCGGCUAACUCCGUGCCAGCAGCCGCGGUAAUUC
rnacentral:rRNA from 1 species